rnacentral:rRNA from 1 species
UACGAAGGGGGCUAGCGUUGCUCGGAAUUACUGGGCGUAAAGCGCACGUAGGCGGCUUUCUAAGUCGGGGGUGAAAUCCUGGAGCUCAACUCCAGAACUGCCUUCGAUACUGGAGAGCUCGAGUCCGGGAGAGGUGAGUGGAACUGCGAGUGUAGAGGUGAAAUUCGUAGAUAUUCGCAAGAACACCAGUGGCGAAGGCGACUUCCUGGCCUGUUCUUGACGCUGAGGCGCGAAAGCUAGGGGAGCAAACGGG